CGGAACAUUGCAUGCAAAAGACACACAGGUGGAGACGCCGCUGGGAAAUCUGCAAAAAAACAAGAACACUCCUAAAGCGAAUGACUUUCCCUGUGGCUCCCCUGUGGGCUCCUCUGUCAGACUCUUCUCUUCUUUAUUUAAAGUUGCAUAUUGACAUUUAUCGUGAGAGGCCAGUUCAUAUAUAUACUCCUUGCAAGUGUCUGGCAGGACAAUAAUACUUCUGGACAUGUAAACACCAAACAUACUGUCGGCUUUCAUUGUGUGCACAUUACAUGUCCUAUGCAAACCAUGAGGAGGCAGGACAGGCUACCGCUGAAGGUGUGUGAGUGGACGGGACGUCCGUGCAGGGGGGGGGGGGGGCAGGCCAGUCCUCAGCUGAUCUGUUCCUAAAGGCUCCUUCCAGGCAAAUGCCAACUCCUGUCCUUCCACUUUUUCUAUAACUGAGGCUUCAGUGUGACACCGGUGCUCUGGGUGAGGCGGCUGCUGCGUGCACAGCGACGCUCUCGUCCCCGGGAGCUGCUGAGUGAAAGGUCUGACCUCUGGUGAUCGUAGACACUUGUAGUAACAGUGCCUUAUCGCAACAGUUGCACUACGAAAUGCAACUUGGGUCGAGCAGCAGAGACGCCCUUCACAGGUCAGAGCCGCUCAUACGCAGAUCAGUCGUGUGCUUCUCAACCAGGGGGGCCGGAGACACAUCUAAGAUCAUGAGGAGAUUAAAGGGAAAGUUUCAUAUUUUUUGGGGUGGGGGAAACACUCUUUACUUGGUAAAACAUCAACAACAAACUACAAUGUGUUGUUUCACCAACUGGAGCUCUAUCUUGACUCUCUAACAUUUCAUUAUUUGCACAACUCAAACAAACAGUGAGAGGUGCUGGCACUUAAAUGCAGAAUCAUCUCAGCAAAACUGUUAAAACGAUUAUUUCCCCCCCGAUAAUGAAAAACGAAUUAGGUUUCUUCCGGGAAAGUAUUAGAAAGAUAAAAAUCUUAACGAGGAGAAAUUCACAACUGGAAGAUAAAAUUCCACCUGUGACCAGUAGAUAAAGUUGUGUGUAUGUGUGUAUGUGUGUCUGUCUGUGUGUGUGUGUGUGUGUGUGUGUGUGUGUGUGUGUGUGUGUGUGUGUGUGUGUGUGUGUGUGUGUGUGUGUGUGUGUGUGUGUGUGUGUGUGUGUGUGUGUGUGUGUGUGUGUGUGUGUGUGUGUGUGUGUGUGUGUGUGUGUGUGUGUGUGUAAUCCUGCCAGUCCUCACGGUUGAGAAUCACUGAUUUUAGAGAAAUGAAACGCUUGAAUUGUAGAUUGAAGUGUCCGGAAGCUUCUCAGCUGACGAGAGAAGACGAGCCACAUCAGCAGGUUGUUGUUGUUGUUGUUGUUUUUUUACCUAUUUGAAGCUGAAUUGUGGCCAAGUGUUAAUUAUUGUGCCUGUGAGCUCGAGCGCCUCCUCCUGCAUCACAUCAGAGCCGAUCUGAGUCCUCUCUCUCUCUCGCUCUCUCUCUCUCUCUCUCUCUCUCUCUCUCUCUCUCUCUCUCUCUCUCUCUCUCUCUCUCUCUCUCUCUCUCUCCCCCCCCUGCCUUUUCAUACUCGUCUUCACACAUCUGCGCUGUGACAGUGAACUCCUUCCACGGCAGCUGUCUCUGGCAGACGCGCACACAUUCUCUCCUUUCACACAUCUGUGUCUUUCAGACGGAGCGCAGCCUUUGGUGCGAGAAUCGAGAAAUCGUUUUUGUUUCGCUCGAGGGGGGGGGGGGGGGGGGGGAGAAGAAAAUCCACUCAAGGCAAACUGAGAGAAAGUGAAAUUCUUAGUAUUUAAAUGAUUUUAGCAGAUAGCGAGAGUUUGUCUUAUAGUGAUUGUGUUUAUAUGCAAGACAGAGUUGGUGUUUGUGAAAUAUACCUGUGUAGAAAUCCUUAGUGUGUUCAACGGCGUCGUGUGGGACUCUGAAACCUGCCCGGGAGGAUUUAUGAUCAGAGCCCCGGUCACAAGUCCUCCUCAAUCUCCUGAAGAACUAACUCCAGACACACGAGCGAGGAAGAAGCAUUUAGAGAAGAAGGGAUCGUCGGCAGCUGGAGGAAGAUUUUUCAUGGAGCCGUUUGAAGCUCAUGACUGAUAGAUACUUCUAAAAAAAAUGAUUAUAGGCCUGAAAGUACCAUGUCUUUCAUUACUGAGUCAUCUGUGGAUGGUUUUCUUGAUGAAAUGAUUGUUUGCUCUGUAUAAUGGUGAAAUAAUAGUGAAUGUCCAAACCCCCCAAAACACAUUUUAUUAUGAGAAAAUAAGCAAAUACUCACAGUUAGAAAAAAAAAACAACUGGAAGGGCAUUUUGUAAAAAAUAAUUUUGUUGGAAAAUUGCUAAACAAACAAUUGAUCAUUAGAAUACUCGUCGACACAUUUUCUGUUGAUAAUCAACUCACUCUUCCAGCUCUGGAUACUUCCUUUUAUUUAUUUGUGUUGUCUUUUAGCAGGGAUGGGUGACGUGACCACUGGGAGAUGCUGUAACGUCUGUGGCAGUAUUGUUUCUGUGAAGUAAAUGUAAUUACUGAAUAUUUUGUUUCCCUCCAGAAAUCCAAAAGAAAAAACCAAGAGCACUUUGGUAGAUUUGUCAUCGAAGGUGUUUGAGGACUGUUUGUACCGAUGGCUUCGAGUCGCUGUCACCGAGAACAAGAAUGUAUGUGACCGAUAGAAGAAGGGACGUUUGUGUUGAAGCAGAUUUUAAAGGGAAAGUUGAACUUGUUUUAUUUUUAGCUGUGCAAAUUUUGCAGGCUGACGAGCGAAACUGUCGUCCCUGUGGCUACUGUGUUGAAAUGACCUGACCUGGGAUCAGACCUGAACCAAGCUCUGGUCCAUGUGUUGAAUCCUGUAAACAGACACAGAACGAGCUCUUAUUUAUGUUCACUUUUAGUAUCAACACUGUGAUUCGACGUGUUUCAUUUGAUUUACUUCACUUCUUUUUACAUGAUCAAUGUGUCUGGUAAAUAAACAAUAUUGUCUUAUUA